rnacentral:tRNA from 1 species
GCUGCGGUAGCUCAGUGGUAGAGCACUCCAUUGGUAAUGGAGAGGUCGAGCGUUCAAUACUCUCUCGCAGCACCA